CGGGAACUGUGUGACAGGUGCUGCAUGGCUGUCGUCAGCUCGUGUUGUGAAAUGUUGGGUUAAGUCCCGCGACGAGCGCAACCCCUAUCCUUAUUUGCCAGCGCGUUAUGGCGGGAACUCUAAGGAGACUGCCGGUGAUAAACCGGAGGAAGGUGGGGACGACGUCAAGUCAUCAUGGCCCUUACGGGAUGGGCUACACACGUGCUACAAUGGCGUAUACAGAGUGCUGCAAUACCGCGAGGUGGAGCGAAUCACACAAAGUACGUCGUAGUCCGGAUUGGAGUCUGCAACUCGACUCCAUGAAGUCGGAAUCGCUAGUAAUCGUAGAUCAGAAUGCUACGGUGAAUACGUUCCCGGGCCUUGUACACACCGCCC
rnacentral:rRNA from 1 species